GAUGAACGCUGGCGGCGUGCCUAAUACAUGCAAGUCGAGCGAACGGACGAGAAGCUUGCUUCUCUGAUGUUAGCGGCGGACGGGUGAGUAACACGUGGAUAACCUACCUAUAAGACUGGGAUAACUUCGGGAAACCGGAGCUAAUACCGGAUAAUAUUUUGAACCGCAUGGUUCAAAAGUGAAAGACGGUCUUGCUGUCACUUAUAGAUGGAUCCGCGCUGCAUUAGCUAGUUGGUAAGGUAACGGCUUACCAAGGCAACGAUGCAUAGCCGACCUGAGAGGGUGAUCGGCCACACUGGAACUGAGACACGGUCCAGACUCCUACGGGAGGCAGCAGUAGGGAAUCUUCCGCAAUGGGCGAAAGCCUGACGGAGCAACGCCGCGUGAGUGAUGAAGGUCUUCGGAUCGUAAAACUCUGUUAUUAGGGAAGAACAUAUGUGUAAGUAACUGUGCACAUCUUGACGGUACCUAAUCAGAAAGCCACGGCUAACUACGUGCCAGCAGCCGCGGUAAUACGUAGGUGGCAAGCGUUAUCCGGAAUUAUUGGGCGUAAAGCGCGCGUAGGCGGUUUUUUAAGUCUGAUGUGAAAGCCCACGGCUCAACCGUGGAGGGUCAUUGGAAACUGGAAAACUUGAGUGCAGAAGAGGAAAGUGGAAUUCCAUGUGUAGCGGUGAAAUGCGCAGAGAUAUGGAGGAACACCAGUGGCGAAGGCGACUUUCUGGUCUGUAACUGACGCUGAUGUGCGAAAGCGUGGGGAUCAAACAGGAUUAGAUACCCUGGUAGUCCACGCCGUAAACGAUGAGUGCUAAGUGUUAGGGGGUUUCCGCCCCUUAGUGCUGCAGCUAACGCAUUAAGCACUCCGCCUGGGGAGUACGACCGCAAGGUUGAAACUCAAAGGAAUUGACGGGGACCUGCACAAGCGGUGGAGCAUGUGGUUUAAUUCGAAGCAACGCGAAGAACCUUACCAAAUCUUGACAUCCUUUGACAACUCUAGAGAUAGAGCCUUCCCCUUCGGGGGACAAAGUGACAGGUGGUGCAUGGUUGUCGUCAGCUCGUGUCGUGAGGUGUUGGGUUAAGUCCCGCAACGAGCGCAGCCCUUAAGCUUAGUUGCCAUCAUUAAGUUGGGCACUCUAAGUUGACUGCCGGUGACAAACCGGAGGAAGGUGGGGAUGACGUCAAAUCAUCAUGCCCCUUAUGAUUUGGGCUACACACGUGCUACAAUGGACAAUACAAAGGGCAGCGAAACCGCGAGGUCAAGCAAAUCCCAUAAAGUUGUUCUCAGUUCGGAUUGUAGUCUGCAACUCGACUACAUGAAGCUGGAAUCGCUAGUAAUCGUAGAUCAGCAUACUACGGUGAAUACGUUCCCGGGUCU
rnacentral:rRNA from 1 species